CCGAAAAUAGCUCAGUUGGUAGAGCGGGAGACUGUAGAUCUCUAGGUCCCUGGUUCAAAUCCGGGUUUUCGGA
rnacentral:tRNA from 2 species